UGCUGACUUGGGUCAUGUUUGCAUUGACCAGACCAGAACCAACUUAGUCAUUCCUUUCCUGACAGGGGACAGGGAAGGGGUUUGGGUGACUAACUUUUGGUGGAUCAUAUGCCUUCUCCCCUAUGGCGGGCACAAACCAUUUAAGCAUCUACCUGAUCAUCAACUUCCUGUUGCAGUUUCUAUGGUAACCACAAUGGAAUGGGAAAUUGGGUUCCCUCCUACAGGAGGAACUUGAGAAAGGGCUACUAUCCAAAGAAGACAAAUAGUUACACAAGUUACGCAUUCCCAGUUGGGGAGAUGUUGAUAAAAUAAUGUUAAUUCAGGACUCUUUUAAGGCUCCAUAAUUGGGAAGAGUUCAAUAGAAAUCCUUUAAGGGGCAUCCAUAGGAGGAUAAUUUUGGUGCCAGCAGCUCCAGAUAGUACACAUCACAUUCCAUCUCCAAUAGAAUGUAUUAAAGUUGUUGCAGUUCAAAAGCUCAUGGCUGGCUCUUGACAGUAGUGUGUACAUGGAGGGGGGUAGGUGGAAGUAAGCUUAUUUGUAUCUGGAUAGACAGUUAAUAACAUGGAAUGUUCAAUUUUAGUUUUAAACAAUCAUCUAUAAAAAUGGAUGUGGGCUGGGAAGGUGGCUCAGUGGUAGAGCACUUGCCUUGCAUGCAUGAGGCCCUGGGUUCAAUUCCUC
rnacentral:ncRNA from 1 species